rnacentral:rRNA from 1 species
AACGCUGGCGGCGCGCUUAACACAUGCAAGUCGAGCGUGAACCGGGGCUUCGGCCCCGGGGACAGCGGCGAACGGGUGAGUAACACGUGGGUAAUCUGCCCUCGGUUCCGGGAUAGCCCGGGGAAACUCGGAUUAAUACCGGAUAGCCUCACGAGCCUUCGGGCGCGUGAGAAAAGGUAGCUUCGGCCUCUGACCGAGGGUGAGCCCGCGGCGGAUUAGCUUGUUGGCGGGGUAACGGCCCACCAAGGCGACGAUCCGUAGCUGGUCUGAGAGGACGAUCAGCCACACUGGGACUGAGACACGGCCCAGACUCCUACGGGAGGCAGCAGUGGGGAAUCUUGCGCAAUGGGCGAAAGCCUGACGCAGCGACGCCGCGUGAGGGAAGAAGGCCCUAGGGUUGUAAACCUCUUUCAGGUGGGACGAAGCCACUCGGGUGAAUAGCCCAGAGGGUGACGGUACCUCCAGAAGAAGCCCCGGCUAACUACGUGCCAGGCGCCGCAGUAAAAC